ensembl:snoRNA
UGGUGUGGUAGUUUCUUUCUUUGUUGAGUUUUCAAAUGGGUCUGACUCUACAACAUACACUGUAAGGAGCUAGCAAAAGCUUAAAAACUGAAAUAUCUCUCUUGAGCUUUUUUUGUAUCAGAUAGUGGCUCUCACAAUC